rnacentral:misc_RNA from 1 species
AGCAUAUUAUCAAUGAUUUAUUGCCAUCAGGCACUUUUUAUUCUGCCCCUUGUAAGCAAUAGAUACCUUCUGAUUGCAAGUAUGAGAACCCAAGUACUUCUGGUAAUUUUCUCUUUGAUCAUCAAAAGCAAUGCUGAGCUCAGUACAGUCUUCAAGAUCUGGGCUUGCAAUCCCUUGAAAAAUCCCAAAAAUCCUUCUCUUCUCCAUAUCUCACACACAACUGCAGGCACUGUUUUACUGGAUUUCGGUUGACCUUUCUUGUUUUCAUCAUCAUCUGAAUCUGCUGCUUGAAUCAUCACCUUACACCUGAUUGC